rnacentral:rRNA from 1 species
UUACGAGCGAAAAGCUUAAAACUCAAAGGACUUGGCGGUGCUCCAUACCGACUUAGAGGAGCCUGUCCUAUAAUCGAUAUUCCACGCUAAACCUCACCACUCUUUGCCCUAACAGCCUAUAUACCGCCGUCGCCAACUUACCCCAUGAGGGAUCAACAGUAAGUAAAAAAGUCAAACACUAAAACGUCAGGUCAAGGUGUAGCUAAUAGACUGG